rnacentral:snRNA from 1 species
GUGCUCCUUUCAGCAGCACAUAUGCUAAAAUUGGAACGAUACAGAGAAGAUUAGCAUGGCCCCUGUGCAAGGAUGCCACACAAAUUCAUGAAGUAUUUCAUAUUUUU